UACGUAGGCAGCGAGCGUUGUUCGGAGUUACUGGGCGUAAAGCGUGCGUAGGCGGUGUUCCAAGUCUGUUGUGAAAUCUCCCGGCUUAACCGGGAGGGUGCGGCGGAAACUGGGAUGCUGGAGUGCGGGAGAGGUAAGCGGAAUUCCCGGUGUAGCGGUGAAAUGCGUAGAUCUCGGGAGGAACACCUGCGGUGUAGACGGCUUACUGGACCGUAACUGACGCUGAGGCACGAAAGCGUGGGGAGCAAACAGG
rnacentral:rRNA from 1 species